UACGGAGGGUCCGAGCGUUAUCCGGAUUUAUUGGGUUUAAAGGGUGCGUAGGCGGGAUGUCAAGUCAGCGGUGAAAUCUUCUAGCUCAACUAGAAAACUGCCGUUGAAACUGAUAUUCUUGAGUGUAAACGAGGUAAGCGGAAUGUGUCAUGUAGCGGUGAAAUGCUUAGAGAUGACACAGAACACCAAUUGCGAAGGCAGCUUACUAGGAUACAACUGACGCUGAGGCACGAAAGCGUGGGUAUCGAACAGG
rnacentral:rRNA from 1 species